CAGUAGCCACGGUAAUACGUAGGGUCCGAGCGUUGUCCGGAAUUAUUGGGCGUAAAGGGCUCGUAGGCGGUUUGUCGCGUCGGGAGUGAAAACCAGCAGCUUAACUGCUGGCCUGCUUUCGAUACGGGCAGACUUGAGGCAUUCAGGGGAGAACGGAAUUCCUGGUGUAGCGGUGAAAUGCGCAGAUAUCAGGAGGAACACCGGUGGCGAAGGCGGCUCUCUGGGAAUGUUCUGACGCUGAGGAGCGAAAGUGUGGGGAGCGAACAGGAUUAGAUACCCCGGUAGUCCCUGUCUCUUAUAC
rnacentral:rRNA from 1 species